rnacentral:misc_RNA from 1 species
AAGUCGUAACAAGGUUUCCGUAGGUGAACCUGCGGAAGGAUCAUUAAAGAAUAUCGAGCCUUCACAGCUCUUAUUCUCACCCCUUUGUAUAGCCAAACUUUGGUUGCUUUUAGGCAGCGCCUUUAGGGCCUGCCAGAGGACCGAACCCUAGAAGUCUCUGCCCGUCUGAGUAUUCAUAUAAUAGUUAAAA